UGAACUAAAAAUACAUUAUGGAUAUUUCAGGUGAUAAUUGGAGAUCCAACUAGCUCUAAUGUGGUCCAAGAUUUUUAGAGAAAGUAAGUUCAAGACAAACUCAUGAUGCUCAUGAUGAAUGUGAUGUGGAUUGAGCGAAGUUGUAGUCAUAUUAGAUUGUAAAUUUUAGUUUAGUGAACUUGGGAAAAUAAAUCUAUGCUCAUUAAUAUUGUA